ACGAACGCUGGCGGCAUGCCUAAUACAUGCAAGUCGAACGCUUUGUUUCACCGGGUGCUUGCACCCAUCGAACAAAAGAGUGGCGGACGGGUGAGUAACACGUGGGUAACCUGCCCAUAAGAGGGGGAUAACAUCCGGAAACGGAUGCUAAUACCGCAUAUUUCCAAUUGUCUCCUGACAGAUGGAAAAAAGGUGGCUUCGGCUACCGCUUAUGGAUGGACCCGCGGCGUAUUAGCUAGUUGGUGAGGUAAUGGCUCACCAAGGCGAUGAUACGUAGCCGACCUGAGAGGGUGAUCGGCCACACUGGGACUGAGACACGGCCCAGACUCCUACGGGAGGCAGCAGUAGGGAAUCUUCCGCAAUGGACGAAAGUCUGACGGAGCAAUGCCGCGUGAGUGAAGAAGGUUUUCGGAUCGUAAAACUCUGUUGUUAGAGAAGAACAAGGAUGAGAGUAACUGCUCAUCCCCUGACGGUAUCUAACCAGAAAGCCACGGCUAACUACGUG
rnacentral:rRNA from 1 species